UACGUAGGUGACGAGCGUUGUCCGGAUUUACUGGGCGUAAAGAGCGCGCAGGCGGUCGUUCAAGUCGAGUGUGAAAGCCCCCGGCUCAACUGGGGAGGGUCACUCGAUACUGAUCGACUCGAAGGCAGGAGAGGGUAGUGGAAUUCCCGGUGUAGUGGUGAAAUGCGUAGAUAUCGGGAGGAACACCAGUGGCGAAGGCGACUACCUGGCCUGUUCUUGACGCUGAGGCGCGAAAGCUAGGGGAGCAAACGGG
rnacentral:rRNA from 1 species